rnacentral:rRNA from 1 species
GAUCAUGGCUCAGGAUGAACGCUAGCUACAGGCUUAACACAUGCAAGUCGAGGGGAAACGACAUCGAAAGCUUGCUUUUGAUGGGCGUCGACCGGCGCACGGGUGAGUAACGCGUGGAUAAUCUGCCUCUGCAAUCGGAAUAACGACUGGAAACGGUCGCUAAUACCGGAUACGCUUAAGUUUUACCUCUUAAGGAAAGAUGACCUCUAUUUAUAAGUUAUCGUGCAGAGAUGAGUCCGCG